rnacentral:rRNA from 1 species
UACGGAGGGUGCGAGCGUUGUCCGGAAUCACUGGGCGUAAAGGCGCGUAGGCGGCCUGAUAAGUAGGGGGUGAAAUCCUGCGGCUUAACCGCAGGGCUGCCUUCUAAACUGUCAGGCUAGAGCACAGUAGAGGCAGGUGGAAUUCCCGGUGUAGCGGCGGAAUGCGUAGAGAUCGGGAAGAACAUCAGUGGCGAAGGCGGCCUGCUGGGCUGUGCUGACGCUGAGGCGCGACAGCGUGGGGAGCAAACAGG